rnacentral:rRNA from 1 species
GAUUGCCUACGGGGGGCAGCAGUGGGGAAUAUUGCGCAAUGGGCGAAAGCCUGACGCAGCGACGCCGCGUGAGGGAUGAAGGUCUUCGGAUCGUAAACCUCUGUCAGCAGGGAAGAACGGUCACUGUGCUAAUCAGCAGUGAAUUGACGGUACCUGCAAAGGAAGCACCGGCUAACUCCGUGCCAGCAGCCGCGGUAAUACGGAGGGUGCGAGCGUUAAUCGGAAUUACUGGGCGUAAAGCGCUCGUAGGCGGGAUGGCAAGUCAAGGGGGAGAUCC